rnacentral:lncRNA from 1 species
GUGACUUUAAUAAUCUGCCGCAGUCUGGCUGGGCACAAAUCACUGAGCCGCCACAAAAGCACUUGUAUGUUCAAACAGGAAACUUUAUUGCCCGAACUCCACCAGCACUCCACGCACACUCCCCGAGAACUCUCCCAGCUCUCCCCCGGGCUCCGCACCUACUCUCUACCCUGCGAGAACUCAAUGGGAACCAGAACGGGCGCCAGAGGCAGCAAGAGCCGCCCUAUUGCUGGACAGUAAAGGUCUAUAUACAAUUGAAUACACAUCAUCAUCUCAGUGGCUCCCUGGCAUCACCUCUCAACCACUCCCUUCUGGCAAAAUGCCAUGAGUCAUCCCUACUUGGCUGUGGCCCUCAACAAUAAUCUAUAGCUUGCAACUUAACUUUGUUGCAGGGCUCAAGACAAUAACUGUUUUCAAGAAAGACUAUUUUUUAUAAAUGUGUUAUUUGUUUUGAGCUACAAAUUAAUAGUUGUCAGCUGCAUUCAGCCAUUGUGACAUGUGACCUGCAAGCAAACUAGUAUCUAAAUGUAAUAAGAGGAAGCCCUGGUGCACUAAGUGGGGAACCUUCUUUGGGCCCUGCAGAGCCUUGUGAAUGGCAUUUGCUUACUUGUUUAGGGUAAAUUUCUGUAGAAAAUAAGGCUAUCUCUAUAGAGGGGCAUGGCCAGCUUCAUUUGCUGAUGUGGGAGUUAUUGAAAUAGCAAGAAAUGGUGUGAACCCUAAUGCACUGUGGAUUUCCUAGAGGGCCUUGAAAAACCAGCCUCUAUCUCAGAGCAAAGCCUGUCCAAGGAAGGGACAUGGCCUUUGUCCUUGGAAAAACCCACAGAGCACUCCUAAGCACAUUCCCAUCCUGCUAAGUUGUUUAUCUACAAAUAACAGGAGAGAUCUGCUGCGCCAGGUGUCCCUGACUCAGUCAGGCUAGGUGGGGAUCCAUAGCAGGCCCCUAGCAGCCACCAAUCAGCAUGAGACAAGGAAAUACCUGGGAUGCCAGAUGACCCUCCCAGUGGUUUAUGGUGGUUGAUAACAAGUUGGGAAACCAUGUAGUUCAGCAUGUACACCCCUCUUGGCUCAAACCAAUCAGUUCAAACGAAUACACCUUUUGUACUGACCAAUCACCCCUACCCAACUUGUUCCCGCCAGUGAAUGUGCUAAUCAUGUUUUAGAGUUGUUAUUUGAUUUUCCCGCGGUGUGUGAUGAUUUGCUAAAAGAGGCUAUGAUGUAUGUGAAGUCCCUGCCCUCCCCAAAAAAUGUAUAAAAAUGCUGCAAACCCCUGGGCUC